GGAACUACGGGCACUCAAAUCUCUAAUCUAAUUCACUAGCGUAAACUCAGCAUAUCCCUGCUUUAGCACUGUGGACACAACCCCCCCCCCAAAAUCCAAGGAUAUUAUUCUACCAGUGAGGGAUCGGAGGCGGGUAUGUUGGAGGAACGGAGGCUCAGAAGAUUGAAGAGAUGGAGAAAGCAAGACUUAUUGAGUUUCGGGAACAGGAGAGCUUGGCUCGCCAUCAGAUGGAAGAAGAGUGGAAAAGAGGGGAAGCAGAGAAAAGACUGCAAGAUGAAACUCUCCAUCAACUGCAGCU